AGGAGGACGUUAUAUUGUUACCUCUACAGGAGGACGUUAUAUUGUUACCUCUACAGGAGGACGUUAUAUUGUUACCUCCACAGGAGGACGUUAUAUUGUUACCUCUACAGGAGGACGUUAUAUUGUUACCUCUACAGGAGGACGUUAUAUUGUUACCUCUACAGGAGGACGUUAUAUUGUUACCUCUACAGGAGGAGGUUAUAUUGUUACCUCUACAGGAGGACGUUAUAUUGUUACCUCUACAGGAGGACGUUAUAUUGUUACCUCUACAGGAGGACGUUAUAUUGUUACCUCUACAGGAGGAGGUUAUAUUGUUACCUCUACAGGAGGACGUUAUAUUGUUACCUCCACAGGGCCUAGAGCAGUGAGACCACUUCUUUAGAGCCCACUCAAAGUAGGCUGUGUCCUCCUGCACCAGGUUAUUUUC